GUUUGAGUGAACUCUGUUUCUCGACUCUCAGGAUCCGUUCAGCUGAAUUAUUAGUUUGUCAUUUCCACAUAGACUUCAUCAUGAAUCACACACAAACACCCCGAGAUGAAGAUGUUUCUCCAGGAUGCAGUUCAAUUCAUCAGAAAAAAUCAGAACCAAAGCCCAGCUGUGUGUCUCUGAGGAGUGAUGAGUCUAUAGGUCAUCCACCAAAUCUCAGUUCAGUUCACCAGAAGAAAUCAGAAGCAGAGCCCAGCUGUGUGUCUCUGAGGAGUGACGCUUCUUUGG